UUUCCGGAGGUGAACCUGCGGAAGGAUCAUUACCAAAAGAUAAUCUUUCAACAUCUGAAAGAUCUUACCUUUGUGCUGGCUUUGACAGUUUUGUACUUUUGGGGCUUUAAAAUGGUUCAGUUAGUAAAAGGAGGGGAGUAAUCCCUUUUCAUUGCUACUGGAUCGGCCCCAAAAAAUCAUAUCAUCCUUAUAAUUUUUUCUGAUUAAUUAACACAUGAUUUUAAUAAUCUGUUUAAAACAACUUUCAACAACGGAUCUCUUGGUUCUCGCAUCGAUGAAAAACGCAGC
rnacentral:misc_RNA from 1 species